rnacentral:rRNA from 1 species
GUGCCAGCCGCCGCGGUAAUACGUAGGGUGCGAGCGUUAAUCGGAAUUACUGGGCGUAAAGCGUGCGCAGGCGGUUAUAUAAGACAGUUGCGAAAUCCCCGGGCUUAACCUGGGAAUGGCGCUUGUGACUGCACGACUGGAGUGCGACAGAGGGGGAUGGAAUUCCGCGUGUAGCAGUGAAAUGCGUAGAUAUGCGGAGGAACACCGAUGGCGAAGGCAGUCCCCUGGGCCUGCACUGACGCUCAUGCACGAAAGCGUGGGGAGCAAACAGGAUUAGAU